rnacentral:rRNA from 1 species
GACGAACGCUGGCGGCGUGCUUAACACAUGCAAGUCGAACGGAAAGGCCCUGCUUUUGUGGGGUGCUCGAGUGGCGAACGGGUGAGUAACACGUGAGUAACCUGCCCUUGACUUUGGGAUAACUUCAGGAAACUGGGGCUAAUACCGGAUAGGAGCUCCUGCUGCAUGGUGGGGGUUGGAAAGUUUCGGCGGUUGGGGAUGGACUCGCGGCUUAUCAGCUUGUUGGUGGGGUAGUGGCUUACCAAGGCUUUGACGGGUAGCCGGCCUGAGAGGGUGACCGGCCACAUUGGGACUGAGAUACGGCCCAGACUCCUACGGGAGGCAGCAGGGGGGAAUAUUGCACAAUGGGCGGAAGCCUGAUGCAGCAACGCCGCGUGCGGGAUGACGGCCUUCGGGUUGUAAACCGCUUUCGCCUGUGACGAAGCUUGAGUGACGGUAAUGGGUAAAGAAGCACCGGCUAACUACGUG